rnacentral:rRNA from 1 species
GAUGAGCGCUGGCGGCGUGCCUAAUACAUGCAAGUCGAGCGAACAGACGAGGAGCUUGCUCCUCUGACGUUAGCGGCGGACGGGUGAGUAACACGUGGAUAACCUACCUAUAAGACUGGGAUAACUUCGGGAAACCGGAGCUAAUACCGGAUAAUAUAUUGAACCGCAUGGUUCAAUAGUGAAAGACGGUUUUGCUGUCACUUAUAGAUGGAUCCGCGCCGCAUUAGCUAGUUGGUAAGGUAACGGCUUACCAAGGCAACGAUGCGUAGCCGACCUGAGAGGGUGAUCGGCCACACUGGAACUGAGACACGGUCCAGACUCCUGCGGGAGGCAGCAGUAGGGAAUCUUCCGCAAUGGGCGAAAGCCUGACGGAGCAACGCCGCGUGAGUGAUGAAGGUCUUCGGAUCGUAAAACUCUGUUAUUAGGGAAGAACAAAUGUGUAAGUAACUAUGCACGUCUUGACGGUACCUAAUCAGAAAGCCACGGCUAACUACGUG